UCACACUAUCAUUAACUGAAUCCAUAGGUUAAUGAGGCGAACCGGGGGAACUGAAACAUCUAAGUACCCCGAGGAAAAGAAAUCAACCGAGAUUCCCCCAGUAGCGGCGAGCGAACGGGGAGGAGCCCAGAGCCUGAAUCAGCAUGUGUGUUAGUGGAAGCGUCUGGAAAGGCGCGCGAUACAGGGUGACAGCCCCGUACACAAAAGCGCAUGUGCUGUGAGCUCGAUGAGUAGGGCGGGACACGUGGUAUCCUGUCUGAAUAUGGGGGGACCAUCCUCCAAGGCUAAAUACUCCUGACUGACCGAUAGUGAACCAGUACCGUGAGGGAAAGGCGAAAAGAACCCCGGCGAGGGGAGUGAAAAAGAACCUGAAACCGUGU
rnacentral:rRNA from 3 species